ensembl:lncRNA
CGGGGGAUGGGGGCAGGACCUACACGGAUGAGACCCUUACACGGAGCUAUGAGGGCUGAGAAGGACCCAGGUGGGUGAAGGCAGAGGGAACAGCAAGUGCAAAGACCCUGAGGUGUGGUUGUAUGUGGUCUAGCUGAGGAGGAGGAAUAAGGCCAGGCCACAGCUGAGGCAGCAGCAUGACACAUGGAGAGGACGCAGAAGCUAAAAAGGGAGACGCAGGAAGAGACUUCGUGAGCUUCGGAAGAGUCCAGAUUUUAGCUUUUAGAAUAACCUGGGGGGUGGUGUAUUAUUACUUCUGCUCCCAUUUUACAGUUAAAGAAACAGAGAAUAGCACGUAAUAUAUAGGCAAGUACUGGGUUUAGGAUGGGUUGCUGUUUGGUGGGGUACCUCCUCUGAUGCUUGGAAGUGCAGUGUGGGUGGGGGCAGGCAGCCAGCAGAGUAGCCAUCAGGACAUCACUCUGAAUGGAGGGGCAAGGCUAGGAAUGUGCCAGAGGCUUAAAGAUAGGAGCCCCCCCUCCCACCUUGGGCUUUCUCCUCUGCUCUCUCCGGAGCAGUUGGAAGACAUUCGUGGGAAAAGAGGUGACUAUCAUGAUGGUCCUCAUUGCCGGACCAGAGAAGAUAGCAGGUAGGUCACUGGGCUGUGUCUACUGCACUGGCUUUCCAAGUAUCCAACCCAAAGGGAAGUGGUACCCACAGCAUCCACAGUGAGGGGAGGCUUGAUACCCUAGCUCUGGGGAGGGAGCUCAUCUAUAGACUGGCAAGACUUGGGUUGGGAGUGCGGAGGUUUGCAGAAAUGCACUGGCAACACAGCAGGGCUGAACCUCAGGCAAGCUGCAGACACUGAGGAUAACUCAUACCCCUCAUGCAUGUUCCCAGAGCCCCCAGAGUCUCCUUCCACUAGAGGAAGCAUCCAAAGACUUCCUCUCCCCCCGCCCCCGAAGAGUGAGGGCUAUGUUGCCAAGGCAAGAGUUCGUGCAGGGCCACCAUUCAAUCUCCUGCUGGGAGCCAGGUUGAGCUUAUACAAGGUGACCUCUAUAGAGCGCUAUGAUUCCAUAAACAGAAAGCCAAAUCAACAGGUGAUUACUUCAGUACAUCUUCACGACUGGAUUUUUUUCCCCUGGUUCUAUGCAGAAGACUUCGAGCGAGUCCAAAUGGAGAAUCAUCCCAGCAGCUGAAAGAGUGGUAAGCAGAAUGCACCAGCAGCGAAUACAUUGCCUUGUCGCAGCUUCUGGAACAGACUGGCUGUGCCCAGAGAGAGGUGCGCAUGUGCCUCCCCAGCUAGAAUGCAAGCUUUGGAAGGCUGGGCAUGUAUCUAACUGAUGGCGGUAUUUUUUUGUCAGAACAGGUCCAGC